AAAGUCCUGGGGUGUUCGAGGCUCCCAUUUAUUUUGAACCUACAUUACUUUAAACGGGAUUCCUACAUUGCUGUCUUAGAUGUCAGGCCGUCAUUAUGCAGCGGAAGACAGAAGAGCAGCUGCGGUUGCCCACCUAGCAUAAGCUAGGAGUCAGAAGAUGGGAAACGGCACUCUGGGAUAAAU
rnacentral:other from 1 species